ACGACCUUACUUGAACAGGAUCUGUUCUAUAGGGUCGUAGAUUUGUAUCCUUUAUUAAUAAGGAGACAUGAAUCUAUGUCUGGUUGAUGAGAUGUUGCUGCUAGACCAGAGCGUGAUUAACAAACCAGCGUUGUUGUUGUUGGCCUCCUGCUUAUUAGGCUUGUGAUCACACUGCUGUAGAGGAUGUAUCCAUUGAUAUGUGAGCAAUGUUAGAGUUUUGCAAAUUCUUUGACAAGAUA